rnacentral:rRNA from 1 species
UACGGAGGGGGCGAGCGUUAUUCGGAAUUAUUGGGCGUAAAGGGCGCGUAGGCGGCUUUGUAAGUCAAAGGUGAAAUCCCUCGGCUCAACUGAGGAACUGCCUUUGAAACUGCGAGGCUUGAGGCCGGGAGGGGGUAGCGGAAUUCCCAAUGUAGCGGUGAAAUGCGUAGAUAUUGGGAGGAACACCAGUGGCGAAGGCGGCUACCUGGACCGGUACUGACGCUGAUGCGCGAAAGCGUGGGUAG